rnacentral:rRNA from 1 species
UACGUAGGGUGCGAGCGUUAAUCGGAAUCACUGGGCGUAAAGGGCACGCAGGCGGUCUUUUAAGUGAGAUGUGAAAUCCCCGGGCUUAACCUGGGAAUAGCAUUUCAGACUGGGAGUCUAGAGUACUGUAGAGAGGGGUAGAAUUCCACGUGUAGCGGUGAAAUGCGUAGAGAUGUGGAGGAAUACCGAAGGCGAAGGCAGCCCCCUGGGAGAGUACUGACGCUCAGGUGCGAAAGCGUGGGGAGCAAACAGG